rnacentral:lncRNA from 1 species
UUCUACAAAGACCGACCAAGAGGUGCUGAUGCCUGCUCUUCCCCUGCCCUCACGGCAAACCCUCCUGGAAACAACCUGAGACAUGUGGGGAAUGGGGGUUGUAUGCUAAGACUGUGAUGACCAAGAGAAGGUUAACUAAUCAGGUCAUGGACCGUUGCUAAUAAUGGUUUUCACAUCGUUCCUUUUCAUUAAACCUUGGGCAGCUUUCAGAACAGAAUAGUCGGCUGCUAAAACACAGAUGGAGUAACACCCACAGUGAUUCUCCUUCACCUCAGAAUGAAGCUCUAACUUCACACCCCACUGGCUCAUCUACUGUGGGGUCUCGACAUGAUCCCUGCUGUAUAAACUGCUUCUCACUUCAGGGACUAUGCACGGUUACCCCUUGGCGCUUCAAGCACGAGAUCCUUCUUCUGCCUUGAGCUGAUCUUCACAGUUAACGUCCUCACUCUUCAGGAUUCACUCAAGAUCCCCUUUCUCCAGGAGCCCUUUCGAAUCCUCCAAGCCUGGGUUAAAUGCUCGCUUUAGGAGUUCCCGUCGUGGCGCAGUGGUUAACGAAUCCGACUAGCAACCAUGAGGUUGCGUGUUUGGUCCCUGCCCUUGCUCAGUGGGUUAAGGAUCCGGCGUUGCCGUGAGCUGUGGUGUAGGUUGCAGACGCGGCUCGGAUCAUGCGUUGCUGUGGCUCUGGUGUAGGCCGGUGGCUACAGCUCCGAUUGGACCCCUAGCCCGGGAAUCUCCAUAUGCCGCGGGAGCGGCCCAAGACCAAGAAAUAGCAAAAAAAAAAAAAAAAAAAAAAAACUCGCUUUAGGUCAGCAUCCCUUGCAAACCUCCCAGAUGGCACGCUUCUCCUCACCCUGUAUUUGAGGUGAGGUGUUUGGCUCCAUGGGUGGGGGGGGGGCGGGUGUGACUGCUGCUAGCUUUUAAGCCUCACUCUUUCCUUUUUCCUUUGUGUCCACAUUUGGACAAGCUGAUAAGAAAGCCCAGCUGUUCCUCCUUUGGCGCCGGCAGGAGAUUCAAACCCUGUGCAGGAACUCCCACUCUGGCCUCACCCCUGACCACAAUCAGAACCCAAGCCAGCCUCCUCUCCUUGUUCUCUCAAGCAGGGCAGAUCUGCCGAGAGGCGGCUCGGCUCGCCUCAGAGACCUCAAUGCUGGGGGCCGGAAACCUUUUCCUACCCUCUGGGUGUAUGAGGGUGUCGGGGAUGGGUGGUGGUCAGACGUCUCAACGUCUGAAGCAAACGCUGGGUGGAGGGUCCAUCUACCAUUGAAGGUGACCAGGGCAGUGCUGUAAGCACCGAUUUUCUCAUCCAUCUUCUCCCCCAAAUUACAAGUUCUUUGAAGAUUGUGUAAUUUAUUCAGGGAUUCUCUACCCAUGCCUGGAACAGUGUCUGGUACAAUAGCAGACAUUCACUAAAUAUUUGCUUGUUGAAUAAAAUACAAUCUUUAGGCAAAUCCCUGUUUUCACUCAAUUAAAUGUAAAUAACUUAGAUUUUUGUGAUUUUUAAGGGAACUCACAUAUCAUCAAAAACAACCCAAACUAUAUAGUGCAAAUAUAUAUAAUAUAUAUUAUGUAAUAUAGCAAAUAAAUACAUAUAUAACACACAUAUACAUAUAUACACACACACACAUAGCAAAAUAUAUAUAUUUGCCUGUUAUGGCAAAACAAACACAUGGAAGGGUUUUUGUUGUUACUGUUGCUGUUAUUUAUAGGAAGAUGUUCCAGAAGAGAAACUUACAAAGAUACAUAAUGACCCUUUGUGGACUCAGCUGAGAGGUAAUGGGAUCAGGACCCUGGGAGGUAUGUACACAGGCCUCCUUUGGAGAUGCUUCCCCCAGUCUCCACGCCUCCAGCACCGUGUGUGGGGAUUACCAUUGAUCUGGAUCAUUGAAAGAACCUGGAAGUAAUCAGGGACCCAGGGCCAGGUAGCAAACUAUACAUACAUUUAUUACACAUUUCACAAUUAUUUCAAAACUGCUUUCAGAUGGGAUGCUUGUAUUUCAAAGCAACCAGUAUCAAAGUUAAAUCUCCACCAGUAGCUGACUUUAAUAGCUGCCUGUAAUACUCUCGGAUCAUCAUCUGCCUCAAUUACAAGGAUAAUAGGUAAAAACUCUGCUGAAAUGGCUACAUGAACAGUGAAAUGACCUGUCCUCUCCCAGCUGCCCCACUGUGCACAGACACAUCACCUCAGCCCGGCUACCAAGACUUCCAUAGCUCCCGGGCAUACCACUGUUGGAAGAAUAUAUUGCAUUUAUUCUGAGUAACCUUUUUUUUUCUUUUUAGGGCCUCACCCACAGCAUGUGGAAGUUCCCGGGGUAGAGGUCGAAUUGGAGCUGUAGCUGCCAGCCUGCACCACAGCCACAGCCAUGCCAGAUCCGAGCCACAUCUGCAGACCACACCACCGCUCUUGGCAAUGCUGGAUCCUUAACCCACUGAGCGGGGCCAAGGAUCGAACCUGAAGCCUCAUGGAUCCUAGUCGGGUUCAUCACCACUGAGCCACAAUGGGAAUUCCGUAUUGUGAGUAACUUUCUAUCUUCCUGCACUCCCGUGUAACAUAAAAGUGGAGACUGCCUCCAGCUGCAGCUGCCUCCCUUGAUCCCCGUGAGAUGCCCACCAGGGCUGCUUUGUGACUUCCUUAGGCUCUGGUCCUAAGCUUUUGUGGGACCCUCCCUCAACAAAAUAAUACUCUAAAUGGUUUUUUUAUGACUCUUGGUAGAAAGGGGAAUUCUGUACUAAAAAAAAUGUCUUGGACCUAAAAAUUCAUUUUUUUCCUCGAAUUGUAAAAGCAAUUAGAACAUUUUUCUGGGGUCCUAAAAGUAUGAUUGGUCUUAGUGCCCCUUGGAUAAGCUGCGGGCAUAUCAAAAGCUCUGAGAAUGGAUGACUGAUGGAUAGGAGGGAGAAAGAGAAUGCAACCAGCCAGCUUAGGGCAAAAUACAUAAGUUCAUUCACAAGUCAUCAGUCUAACCUUCCCCUCUCCCCUACAUACCCAUUAUCACCUGAGGUCAUUAGGCCCAAAGAAGUGGGACCCCUGUUGCAUGUCUAGGGGCCCUGCUCUUUGGAGCGGCAUCCUCAAUAUUUUCUCCCAAGUCCCCAUCUUGGUCAGGGGCAAACUGGGACCUUAAUACCAUCUGGGCCGGAUGCCCCAAGUCUUGGUCAGGACCCACAGGGACCCUGAUUUCUCUUCCUCCUCUUUGGGGUGUUCUCUAGCCCUUUAAUCCCCUUAAUCCACUCCCCCCAGGUUAAGCACACCAGGAGUUCCAGGACUUGUGUCCGUGGGGAGGCCCGGAAGUUUUGUGGCAGAAACAGGGUUCCAGGAGUGUGACCUGGCAAGCAAGCAAAUCGUUUUCAUUGUCCAGCAAGGCAACUGGGCUACCAGAAUAGCACUGCUGACAUGCUGGUUUGGAAAGAUUCUUAUCCUGCUCAGGCAAAGGGCAAUUUCAGACUCUGGGCUAAUCCUGGGAUUUGAGGAAUACAUGAGAGCCCUUUGCCUGAGCCAACCACAGUAUCAUCUUGGGUCUACAGCACCGAGGAUGGCAGGGCAGUGCUGGCAUCUUUUCCCAGGUGGGCCCUCGCUGCCCCAUCCUCACCCAGGAUGGUCAGCCCACCCCCUUCACAGCCCCACACCAUGUGGCAGGCAGUCCCCCAGUGUGCCCACACCUAUCCCUUCCUGGGGCGUUCAUUGUUCCCAACACCACAUGGCCCUUCCCAUCCACGUGGUGACAGCAGUUUCUCUAGGUUGAUCUUAAGCCAGAUAAGGAACCUAUUUUCCUUCCUGGAAUCCCUUUUCUCACUCUGCCCACAGUCCUUUGUGUGUCCUUCCCAAUGUUGACCAUGUGUGGAAGGCAGGGGGGUGGUCAAGGUUAAAAGAUCUAAGUUGGGGAGUUCCCAUCCUGGCUCAGUGGAAAUGAAUCUGACUAACAACCAUGAGGACGCAGGUUCAAUCCCUGGCUUCGCUCCGUGGGUUAAGGAUCUGGCGUUGUGGUGAACUGUGGUGUAGGUCACAAAUGUAGCUCAGAUCUGGCGUUGCUGUGACUGUGGCCAGCAGCUACAGCUCUGGUUUGACCCCUAGCCUGGGAACAUCUAUAUGCCACUGGUACAGCCCUAAAAAAAAAAAAAAAAAAAAACUAGGCUGGGAUGGAAAUGUCCUAAAAUUAGGUUGUAAUGAUAGUCAUACAACUAUAAAUAUAAUAAAAUACAUUGAAAUAUUAAAAAUAUCUAGGAAUGUAGUGAUUCUGAUGUAAUUCUUAAGAAUUCAAGAAAUGACAUGCUUAGAAGAGGUAUUUGUUCCAUGUUUAUGCUACAAAUUUCCAGACAAUAAAGUCUAGAGGACCAGAAAAUGAAUUAUUGUUCACAUUUUCUGUGUACUCUGAAAAAGACUUGCAUUUGUGACUGUGAUCACUGAUAUCCAAAAACAACAUAUGAUAGUAAUUUUGGAGACAGGUGUUUGUGGGCGGGGCAAUGGCAGUGGGAUACCUGAUGCCAUUAGUGAGUAAUGAUGAGACCAGUUUCACAUAAAGGGGAUAAAUGGGUAUUUCAGAGGCAAAAAGAUCAACGUUGUCUUAACACAAGGUGGAUCUAAGGGCGGUGGUAUUGUAGGUGUACUGCAACCUUACCCUUGGUGGGAAUUAUUAUAUUAUACUUAACAAUUAAGAACACGAAGAGCUGGUGCCUGAUUCUGAACAGAAAGAGGUGUUGAGCUACAUAGAAUCUUCCUGUUCUCCAAUUUGACAAUAAAUACAUACCUAAGUACCUCUUCUCCAUUUAUUAUUCUAAAUCCACCCUGACAAGACGUUGCGCACAAGCUCAUGGAUAUUGGAAGAAAUUUUUUAAAAAGAGUCCUUCUAAGUAGUUCCUGAUGUGGCACAGCAGAAAUGAAUCCAGCUAGUAUCCAUGAGGACACAGGUUCAAUGCCUUGUCUCGCUCAAUUGAUUAAAGGAUCCGGUGUUGGUGUUGCUGUGAGCUGUGGUAUAGGUCACAAAGUUGGCUCGGAUCCCAUGUUGCUGUGGCUGUGGCGUAGGCCAGCAGCUGCAGCUCUGAUUCAACCCAUAGCCUGGGAACUUCCGUGUGCUGCAGGUGCAGCUC